AGGAGACGGGGAGUCCGCCAGCGGAUGGGGAUGUAGAACGGGCAGCCUCUAAUGGCGCCUGCUGGUGAGGUGGGGUGCCUGUGGCCAUACAGGAAAGGGGAGCAGCUCCCACCUCGAGGCUCUGCUUGCCUCAGAUGGGGUCUCGCUCUGUUGCCCAGGCUGUAGUGCAGUGGCACAAUCUUGGCUCACUGCAACCUCCGCCUCCCGGGUUCAAGCAAUUCUCCUGCCUGAGCCUCCCAAGUAUCUGGAACUACAGAGCCAGAUUCUUAUUCUGUCACCCAGGCUGGAGUGCAGUGGCAUGAUCAUAACUCACUUCAGCCUAGAACUCCUGACUCCUGGCUUCAAGCGAUCCUCCCACCUCAGCAUCCCAAGUAACUGGGACUACAGAGAGCCAGUUGUUAAACACUAGCCAACACCCCAUUGAUGCUGUUCCUUCUACCUGAAACACCUCAGAUUGCCGGUGAGCUCUAGAGACAAAAGGACCUGGGUCUGCAUUUCCCAAAGGCAAGAAUCUGGUAUCACCUGCAUAUUAUUUUCCCAUAUUUGAGCACCACUGCUUGUUGCAUUAUUUACUUAGCAGUUUUGCUCCUGUCAACUCACUUUUUUAAAACUAAACUUAUUUUAAAAA
rnacentral:antisense_RNA from 1 species